rnacentral:rRNA from 1 species
AGCUCGUGUCGUGAGAUGUUGGGUUAAGUCCGUACGAGCGCAACCCUUGUCCUUAGUUACCAGCACGUUAUGGUGGGCACUCUAAGGAGACUGCCGGUGACAAACCGGAGGAAGGUGGGGAUGACGUCAAGUCAUCAUGGCCCUUACGGCCUGGGCUACACACGUGCUACAAUGGUCGGUACAAAGGGUUGCCAAGCCGCGAGGUGGAGCUAAUCCCAUAAAACCGAUCGUAGUCCGGAUCGCAGUCUGCAACUCGACUGCGUGAAGUCGGAAUCGCUAGUAAUCGUGAAUCAGAAUGUCACGGUGAAUACGUUCCCGGGCCUU